rnacentral:rRNA from 1 species
CCUACGGGAGGCUGCAGUGGGGAAUCUUGCGCAAUGCGCGAAAGCGUGACGCAGCAACGCCGCGUGAGGGAAGACGGCCUUCGGGUUGUAAACCUCUUUCAGGAGGGACGCGGUACCUCCAGAAGAAGCCCCGGCUAACUACGUGCCAGCAGCCGCGGUAAUACGUAGGGGGCUAGCGUUGUCCGGAAUCAUUGGGCGUAAAGCGCGCGUAGGCGGCCCGGUAAGUCCGCUGUGAAAGUCAAAGGCUCAACCUUUGAAUGUCAGCGGAUACUGCCGGGCUAGAGUCCGGAAGAGGCGAGUGGAACUCCUGGUGUAGCGGUGGAAUGCGCAGAUAUCAGGAAGAACACCAACGGCGAAGGCAGCUCGCUGGCGGAACUGACGCUAAGGCGCGAAAGCGUGGGGAGCGAACAGGAUUAGAUACCCUUGUAGUC